CAGGACGAACGCUGGCGGCGUGCCUAACACAUGCAAGUCGAGCGGGGUCCAUCCAGUGGCAACACUGGGGAAGACCUAGCGGCGAACGGGUGAGUAACACGUGAGAAACCUGCCCUGAAGUCUGGGAUAACCCGAGGAAACUCGAGCUAAUACCGGAUGCCCCCACCGAGUCGCAUGGCUUGGUGAGGAAAGAUUCAUCGCCUCAGGAGGGUCUCGCGGCCUAUCAGCUAGUUGGCGGGGGUAAACGGGCCCACCAAAGGCAUCGACGGGUAGCUGGUCUGAGAGGACGAUCAGCCACACUGGGACUGAGACACGGCCCAGACUCCUACGGGAGGCAGCAGUGGGGGAAUAUUGCGCAAUGGGCGAAAGCCUGACGCAGCAACGCCGCGUGCGGGAUGACGGCCUUCGGGUUGUAAACCGCUUUCAGUGGGGACGAAAACAGACGGUACCCACAGAAGAAGCCCCGGCCAACUACGUG
rnacentral:rRNA from 1 species